AUGAUUCAUCAUCAGCUGAAUUGUUUUUGGAACAGAUGGAUAAAAGAGAUGCUGCCAACGUUGACGAAGAGGACCAAAUGGUUUGAUGAAAGAAAACCUAUAUCUCCUGGAGACUUAGUGCUGAUAGUGAAUGAAGGAAAGAGAAAUGAUUGGAUCAGGGGACGAGUACUCGAGGUAAUACCAGGAAGUGAUGGCAGGAUAAGGCAGGCCAUUAUAAAAACAGCGAGGGGUUUAUUGCGUAGAUCAGUAGCAAAGUUGGCAGUCUUGAACAUUGAGCAACUUCGUGGUGUGCCAAGCGGAUGCUUUGCAAAAUUCCUAAAUAUUACUUAUUCUAAAUAUUUCAAUUCUAAAUUGUUACUCUAAACAUCUUAAUUCUAAAAGUGAAUUUAUUCUACCUAUAUAAAUACUUAAAUUUGGAACUGACACAGUUCAUAGUGGAACUAAAACUUAGAUCUCUGAAGUGUCUUAGAACAUUCUUGAGUAAAAGUAGUUAGUUCAGUCUUAGGUGAUCUGGUUGAGCAGAUUGGAAUCAGAGUAGAUAGGACACCGAACGUGUAAGUGUUACGAAACAAUGAAAUUUAACCUAACUAAUUGCAAAAUAUACUUAUAGUUUAAAGCGUUCCCUCAUACAACCAAUCGUGUUUGAGUUGCUGAAAACCCGGUGACCGAUCCCAAGUUCUGCU